rnacentral:rRNA from 1 species
AAUCUUCCGCAAUGGACGAAAGUCUGACGGAGCGAUGCCGCGUGAGUGGUGAAGGUCUUCGGAUCGUAAAACUCUGUUGUUAGGGAAGAACAAGUAUCGGAGUAAUAUGCCGGUACCUUGACGGCAGCUCACCAGAAAGCCCCGGCUAACUACGUGCCAGCAGCCGCGGGAAUACGUAGGGGGCAAGCGUUGUCCGGAAUUAUUGGGCGUAAAGGGACCGCAGGCGGUUAUUUAAGUCUUAUGUGAAAUCUUGUGGCUUAACCACAAGCGGUCAUUGGAAACUGGAUAACUUGAGUACAGAAGAGGAGAGUGGAAUUCCACGUGUAGCGGUGAAAUGCGUAGAGAUGUGGAGGAACACCAGUGGAGAAGGCGGCUCUCUGGUCUGUAACUGACGCUGAGGUGCGAAAGCGUGGGUAGCGAACA